UACGGAGGUGGCAAGCGUUGUUCGGAAUUACUGGGCGUAAAGGGCGCGUAGGCGGCUUGGCAAGUCAGAUGUGAAAGCCCCGGGCUUAACUCGGGAAUUGCAUCUGAAACUGCUUUGCUUGAGUCCUGGAGGGGGUAGUGGAAUUCCCAGUGUAGCGGUGAAAUGCGUAGAUAUUGGGAGGAACACCUGCGGCGAAGGCGGCUACCUGGACAGUGACUGACGCUGAGGCGCGAAAGCUAGGGGAGCGAACGGGAUUAGAUACCCCGGUAGUCCCUGA
rnacentral:rRNA from 1 species